GUAGGUGAACCUGCGGAAGGAUCAUUACCAAAACAUACAUCUCAAUAUUCUUAUUCGUGAACGGUUAUGGGAUUUUUAUUUUUUUUAGUAGUUUACAUAAUCUUGGAAGAUUAAUAUCUUUGAGAUAUUAAUUGAUGAAAUUUUAUUUAAAUUAUUGAAAAGUAAAGAACCCAUUUCCAAUUCAAUAUGUUGUUCUUUACACUGAACACAUAUCAUCAAUCGCCUUUCUUUCAUUAGAAGGUGAAAUCAAUUUCUUAUUGAUUAUUUUUUUAAGUUAAUUCUUAAAAAAAAAAUAAACUCUGUACAACUCUUAGCAACGGAUGUCUUGGCUCUC
rnacentral:misc_RNA from 1 species